rnacentral:rRNA from 1 species
AGUGAACGCUGGCGGUAGGCCUAACACAUGCAAGUCGAACGGCAGCACAGUAAGAGCUUGCUCUUACGGGUGGCGAGUGGCGGACGGGUGAGGAAUACAUCGGAAUCUACUUUUUCGUGGGGGAUAACGUAGGGAAACUUACGCUAAUACCGCAUACGACCUACGGGUGAAAGCAGGGGAUCUUCGGACCUUGCGCGAUUGAAUGAGCCGAUGUCGGAUUAGCUAGUUGGCGGGGUAAAGGCCCACCAAGGCAACGAUCCGUAGCUGGUCUGAGAGGAGGAUCACCCACACUGGAACGGAGCCACGGUCCAGACUCCUACGGGAGGCAGCAGUGGGGAAUAUUGGACAAUGGCCGCAAGCCUGAUCCACCCCUACCGGGUGGGUGAAGAAGGCCUUCGGGUUUUAAAGCCCUUUUGUUGGGAAAGAAAAGCAGCAGGUUAAUACCCCGCUGUUCUGACGGUACCCAAAGAAUAAGCACCGGCUAACUUCGUG